AAAGUCGUAACAAGGUUUCCGUAGGUGAACCUGCGGAAGGAUCAUUACCGUUACUCUGUGUCUUGCACACACUGUAAACCACUGUGAACUGUUUCGAGCUUGUGGGGUGGUUCUCGUUUGCACUAAAAUGCGCACUCGAGAGCCUCAAAUGCAGUUAGACAGCUGAGGCUGGCUGCUGCGGCCCCACAUGUCUAUCUAUUAUGUUUUUUUCAAAACACUAUCAUUCCAGUUGAAUAUCACUCUGUUGGUCAGUCGGUUCAGCUGACUGGCUCAGUUUGAUAAGUUGAAACACAUGACAACUUCUAACGGUGGAUCUCUUGGCUCGUGCAUCGAUGAAGAACGUAGCCAGUUGCGAUAAGUAGUGUGAAUUGCAGAAUUCAGUGAAUCAUCGAAUCUUUGAACGCAAAUUGCGCUCUCUGGAUAUCCAGGGAGCAUGCCUGUCUGAGUGUCGUGAUAAAAACUACACACCCCUGGUGUGGCAUGUGGGUAUCGAGUUUGCAGUUCGCUCCGGCGCUCUGUACUAAACUCGUCCUGCGAAGUGCGUGAACCUGAAUGUGCUGCUGAUUGCAUGUGCAUUGGGAAGGCUCAACUUGCUUCUGUCUUUCCCUCUGCGUUCUCAUGCCAGCAGUGUCAUUGUAGAUGGUGAACAAGACACUGCUGUCCCUGUACCUGGGACAUGCUGGCUGUCAAUUUCUUGAUUUUGACCUCAGAUCAGACAAGACUACCCGCUGAAAUUAAGCAUAUCAAUA
rnacentral:rRNA from 1 species